GUAUUGUAUGGUCAUAUAUCUUAGACCCGAACCCGGGUGAUCUAAUCUUGGUCAGGAUGAAGCUUGGGCAAAACCAAGUGGAGGUCCGAACUCGUCGAUGUUGAAAAAUCGUGAGAUGAACUAAGAUUAGCGGUGAAAUGCCAAUCGAACUCGGAGCUAGCUGGUUCUCCCCGAAAUGCGUUGAGGCGCAGCGGUUGCUGAGAACUAUUAACGGGUAAAGCACUGUUUUGGUGCGGGCUGCGCAAGCGGUACCAAAUCAUGACAAACUCAGAAUAGUUGAUAGUAUUCCAGUAACCAGUGGGAGCAUGGGGGAUAAGCUCCAUGCUCAAAAGGGAAAGAGCCCAGAUCACCAGCUAAGGCCCCAAAAUAAUAUCUUAGUGUUAAAGGAUGUGAGAUUGCAGAAACAGCCAGGAGGUUUGCUUAGAGGCAGCUAUCCUUUAAAGAGUGCGUAAUAGCUCACUGGUAAAGCGGUUUUGCGCCUACAAUGUCCGGGGCUAAGUUAUUUGCCGAAGCUGUGGGUGUGAUUUGCACGUAAUAAAUUUGUAGAAUUUAUUCUAUUCAAAAAAAAAAUGCAUUUUACGCGGUAGGGGAGCGUUCCGUAAAAGUUUACGGAAGUGAGAAUGUUGGCUUGAGUAACGAAAACAUAGGUGAGAAUCCUAUGCCCCGAAAACCUAAGGUUUCCGACGCCAGGUUCGUCCACGUCGGGUUAGUCAGGACCUAAGACUAGGCCGUUAGGCGUCGUCGAUGGAAAGCAGGUUAAUAUUCCUGCACUUAUUGUAAUGUUGAGUACCGAGGGACGGAUCUUUUCACUGUACUUAAUUGGUACACAACAGUGAUUCCCAAAAGAACCUUUAAAAAAAAAUCGGUUCUAGGGUUGAUUCCAAGAAAAGCUUGAACUACUAACAAUAUAUUUUCAAAAACUAAAUAAUAAUCAUUACAAGACCUGUACCUAAAACCGACACAGGUAGGUUGGUAGAGAAUACUAAGGGGCGCGAGAUAACUCUCUCUAAGGAACUCGGCAAAUUGGCUCUGUAACUUCGGGAUAAGGAGUGCUGACACCUUAGGUGUUAGCCGCAGUGACCAGACCCAGCCGACUGUUUAAUAAAAACACAGGUCUCCGCUAAGUCGCAAGACGAUCCAUGGGGGCUGACGCCUGCCCGGUGCUGGAAGGUUAAGGAUGUUGGUUAUUCAUACUUGAUAUGGAGAAGCUGACUACCGAAGCCCCAGUGAACGGCGGCCAUAACUAUGAUGGUCCUAUGGUAGCGAAAUUCCUUGUCAGGUAAAUUCUGACCCGCACGAAUGGUGUAACGAUCUGGGUGCUGUCUCGGAGAGAGACUCGGUGAAAUAGAAAUGUCUGUGAAGAUGCGGACUAUUUACAUCUGGACAGAAAGACCCUAUGAAGCUUUACUCUAACUUGGGAUUGGGUCUGGGCUCUUGGUGCGCAGUCUAGGUGGGAGGCGAUGAUAGCUUUCUUUCGGGAAAGUUGGAGCCACUAGUGAGAGACCACUCUCCAAGAGCUAAGGCCCUAAAGUUGUUCCUUGAAUCAGGACAGCUAACAGUUCCAGGCGGGGAGUUUUUCUGGGGCGGAAGCCUCCUAAAAGGUAACGGAGGCGCGCAAAGGUUCCCUCAUACUGGACGGAAAUCAGUUGUAGAGUGUAAAGGCAUAAGGGAGCUUGACUGGAAGACCUACAAGUCGAUCAGAGGCGAAAGCCGGCCUUAGUGAUCCGACGAUUCCGCGUGGAAGGGUCGUCGCUCAACGAAUAAAAGUUACUCUAGGGAUAACAGGCUAAUUUUCCCCAAGAGUUCACAUCGACGGGAAAGUUUGGCACCUCGAUGUCGGCUCGUCGCAACCUGGUGCGGUAGUACGUGCCAAGGGUUGGGCUGUUCGCCCAUGAAAGCGGUACGUGAGCUGGGUUAAGAACGUCGUGAGACAGUUCGG
rnacentral:rRNA from 1 species